rnacentral:ncRNA from 1 species
UAAAAGACUUUGAUCAGAACCGCGUUUUCAUUCAAUUUACAGAGAGUUCACGAUGGUGUGAAGUGAACAAUGGUUGUUAAUGCGUCACGUCUGGGAGUCAUUCUCUUGAACUGAGUAGGGAGAAGCGGUGAGCACGUUAUUGCUGAAGUUUAGUUUUCUAAACUCGUUGAGACUCUUUGUAUGAGCAGAGGGUAAAGCUGAGGUGGAACCGCGAAUAAAAUCGUCCUCUUA